rnacentral:rRNA from 1 species
CCUACGGGAGGCAGCAGUGAGGAAUAUUGGACAAUGGGCGCAAGCCUGAUCCAGCCAUGCCGCGUGCAGGAUGACGGUCCUAUGGAUUGUAAACUGCUUUUAUACGAGAAGAAACACCCCUACGUGUAGGGACUUGACGGUAUCGUAAGAAUAAGGAUCGGCUAACUCCGUGCCAGCAGCCGCGGUAAUACGGAGGAUCCAAGCGUUAUCCGGAAUCAUUGGGUUUAAAGGGUCCGUAGGCGGUUUAGUAAGUCAGUGGUGAAAUCUCCCCGCUCAACGGGGAAACGGCCAUUGAUACUGCUAGACUUGAAUUAUUAGGAAGUAACUAGAAUAUGUAGUGUAGCGGUGAAAUGCUUAGAGAUUACAUGGAAUACCAAUUGCGAAGGCAGGUUACUACUAAUGGAUUGACGCUGAUGGACGAAAGCGUGGGUAGCGAACAGGAUUAGAUACCCUGGUAGUCCACGCCGUAAACGAUGGAUACUAGCUGUUGGGUGCAAACUCAGUGGCUAAGCGAAAGUGAUAAGUAUCCCACCUGGGGAGUACGUUCGCAAGAAUGAAACUCAAAUGAAUUGACCGG